UGGUGGGGACACUGUUGGGACCGCCUCUGCUAAAGAGGAGGAAGGAAUGGGCAACGGUAGGUCAGCAUGCCCCGAAUUAUCCGGGCUACACGCGGGCUACAAUGGUCAGGACAAUGGGCAUCAACACCGAAAGGUGAAGGCAAUCUCCUAAACCUGUCCUUAGUUCGGAUUGUGGGCUGCAACUCGCCCACAUGAAGCUGGAAUCCGUAGUAAUCGCGUUUCAAAAUAGCGCGGUGAAUAUGUCCCUGCUCCUU
rnacentral:rRNA from 1 species